AUUGAACGCUGGCGGCAUGCUUUACACAUGCAAGUCGAACGGCAGCGCGGGCUUCGGCCUGGCGGCGAGUGGCGAACGGGUGAGUAAUACAUCGGAACGUGCCCAGUAGUGGGGGAUAGCUCGGCGAAAGCCGGAUUAAUACCGCAUACGACCUGAGGGUGAAAGCGGGGGAUCUUCGGACCUCGCGCUAUUGGAGCGGCCGAUGGCAGAUUAGCUAGUUGGUGGGGUAAAGGCCUACCAAGGCGACGAUCUGUAGCUGGUCUGAGAGGACGACCAGCCACACUGGGACUGAGACACGGCCCAGACUCCUACGGGAGGCAGCAGUGGGGAAUUUUGGACAAUGGGCGAAAGCCUGAUCCAGCAAUGCCGCGUGUGUGAUGAAGGCCUUCGGGUUGUAAAGCACUUUUGGCGGGAAGGAAAAGGACUGUGCCAAUACCACGGUUCGAUGACGGUACCCGCAGAAUAAGCACCGGCUAACUACGUG
rnacentral:rRNA from 1 species